CAUAGUCACAUGAGGACGAGUGUCUUGGGGCUGAGGGAUCUCCAGGGAGUCCAGAGAUACGUGUGGUGCCCGGAGAAAGUCAGAAAGAGGCAUGCUGGCCCCAGGUACAGCUCACGGAAGCAGACAGUGAUUGGAGUCUGAGUGGCAUCGGCCCGAUGCUCGCCCCUGGGGUUGUCUCUGGCAGGGCAGCACCACGAACCCACAGGAGCUAUCCACAGGUAAUACAAUGAUCUCUAAUGACCAAACAUCUAUCUCACACUAAACUAGAUGCCACACACAUACAUUUAACUGACACCCUACUCUGCCAGCUUGGGACUGUUACCCCAUUUUUCAGAUAAGUAGACUGAGGCUCAGAGAUUUGGAUUCAUACAGAUGGAACCAGGAUUCCAGUGCAUUAGCUGUUGUAGGUGUGGCGCCUCAUGAGGGGGUAACUGGUGCUCACUGUUGAGGCUCCAGUGUCUGGCAUAGCACCAGCAUUGACUUGGUAAAAGAUAUCUUGUGGGUGUCUGUGGAUUAUAUAAAAUCAGGAGCACUCCCCGCACCCCAAAGCAUACCUCACAGGGAAACUGAGGACUCGACAACAGGAGCUGCAGCAUUGAGCCCUGCCCAUACUUGACCUGUUCCACCACAGGACACAUCACAAGGACCACAGCAGAGGGGUCGCUGCUUUUGCAUUUUUGGCAUCACCAGCCAUUGGCUUCCUUAUGUCUUAAUGUUUCCCAAGCUUAAAAUUAACUGUGAGAAGUGCAAACAUUCUGGGGACUCUUCUUGAGCCAAAGGUAUCGCCACCCAAACUUAAUCAAUAUGUUGAUAGAGUAGUUGGGUCCAGACUCCAUACGCUCUUGAGACAACCAUGAAAUGCCUUCAGAGGGGAAGAUGGUGCUCACCUUGGAAGCUGGACUGGUAGGUGAGUCCUUGCUGAUUCCCCCAGAUGGGAGAGGACUGAGUCAUGAUACACAAAUCCUGUACUUCCAGAGAGCCCUUAAAACUUGUCUGGAGCCUGGGCCCCUCUCUCUCCACCCUCCCCACCUUCUCCUCCCAAUGUCAAGCCUGGAAUAGCUUCAUCACGCUUAGUCCCGAAGCCUUGGCCCUUGGCCUUGCUGAAAGUCAAUGGAGACAGAUUCCUAGUUCCAUCUUGAAUAGAGACACUUGACGCAAGAAACUGUGUUGCUGAAAGUUACUUAUGAGUUGAUUCUUUGAAACUGUUGGAUACCAUCUACCCAUUGGGCAUGUUCUACAAGGCAGUGGAGGCUAGCCCACCACCGAUGAACGCUGCUGAACUGCUGAACUGUUAGUCUGAGUUUCUGGUCAUGGGGAUGAGGAGGGAGAGGAAGACAAGAGGCUUGUCUCUUUCUUGGUACAGGGCCACACCAGGCAAAAUGCUGUUUAUUAGUUUUUUUUUCUCUUUAACAGGCUCUCACACCCUCCUCUAUAUCCUGUUUCCCUGGGCUCUUGUCCCUCGUACUGUCUGGCACACCUGUAUUCUGGAAGGAAGGACAAGGCCCAGAUAUCCUGUGCUCCAAAAUUCUCUGCCUGCUCUCCUUGCUGGUCAGAACAUUCACCAGCACCUACAUCUGGAAAUCAACCCACACUCUGGUCCCCAAAGACUGUACCCAACAGAGGAGAGAGAACAACCCCCCAAAAUACUGCUCUCAGGAGAUAGGAGGUGGGUGCUGGGCAGCUAGACACCCAUAAACCUCCACCACAUACACCACACACACGAACUUUGGUCCCCUCUGGAGAGGAGGAACCUGUAUCACAAUCCUCUGGGAUGGUGGGAAUUUUUAGCACCGGAUGAUGAUUUGGUGAGUUUGUGCCAAAACAAAACACAACACCAAACAAAUACACAGGAAAAAUAGGCAAAUCACAAAAAGAGGGGGGAAAAAAGUAUAAAAUAAAAUAGAAAAAACUCCUUGGACAAGAAAUCAAAAUGAUGCUACCAAGAGACUCUGGGAUGGAGUACAAAUGUCCCCACUCUCCUUUUGGGUAGUAAUUACCAGGUGCAAUCAUAUACCUGGAUUUACACUGAGGUCCCAGAACUCCUAAGGGAGCCAACCACAAGACCAGGAGAGAAGCUGGAAGCAGGAAAGAAACAAGAGCAUGAGCUCGUGCACCAAAACUCCAAACCACACCAGAAAACUCAAUGCAAAUAAAGAUAUCCAACAAAAUCAGAAAAAGAAUUCGUUUCAGAAAGGCCUAAAAAGUAUAGGGUAAAACAAAAUAGGUUGAGAAUGUUUAAAGAGAUAAGUGGAAGUUACACUUCUACUAAAAAAAAAAAAAAAAAAAAAAAAAAAAGAACUGCAAAUUAUUCAAUAAAAAUGGGAAGUAAUGAAAUAAAAUCAGAUGGACAUAAAGAAUUGAUUAGAAAUCCUGGAAAUGAAAAAUAUAGUUUAAUAUUUAAAAAUUCAGUAAGAAGUGUAAAUGAGAUACAGUGGAAGCAAACAAUUGGAAUACAACACUGAGGAAAUCAACCAUCUUACUCACACACGUGCACACACACACAACCUUUCCACUUACACGUCUGACAGGCAUCUUAAGUGUUUUUAGCCAAGGAGCCCUACCUUCAAAUCCUACCUUCAAAUCACAUCUCUAUUAGGAGAACCAAAACAGGUCAGAACAGAGUCACUGUGGCUGAAGUGUGGUAGGACUUAUCUGUCAUUAAAUGAGCUAAUAUCAGGCUAACACUUAGUUACUUUCCUUCUGUUGCCCUCUUCGACAACUGCUUUACAAUCUUAAAACAUACAUUAUACCUCAACUAAGUAAUAAGCAUGUUGAAGACAGAAGCUACUUUAUUCUCCUAAGCCCUCAGUCUAGCUAGAAACUAAAACAUAAGGUUCACACUUUAUACAUACUUCCAUCAUGAUAGAAACAAUAGCUCCUUGUAUAGACUUUUUUUUUUUCAAAAAGUAAAAUUCUUGUUCCCCUUUGAUUAAAACAAUGGUUUUCCAGGGUGCCUGGGUGGCUCAGUUAGUUAAGUAUCUGAUUUUGGCUCAGGUCAUGAUUGCACAGUUCAUGGGUUCGAGUCAUGUGUCGGGCUCUGUGCUGACAGCUCAGAGCCUGGAGCCUGCUUCGGAUUCUGUGUCUCCCUCUCUCGCCACUCCCACCCCCAGUUCAUGGCUCUCUUCUUCAGAAAUAAACAUUAAAACAUUAAAAACAACAACAGUAUUUUUCCAAGGCCAACUCUAUUAUGUUGUUAUAGUAUUGAGGGAGGUUCAACCCAAGAAAAGGUACCAAAUAAAUCUACAUUAGGUAAAAUUUUGCACACUAAAUUUAAGAGUAAUUAAUGAAAAAAACAAAAACAAAAACAAACACUGCUCAAUACUAGUAAAGCCUAGUUUAAAAAGUAGAUCUUUAGCAAUCUAAUCAAGGAUAACUCACCCCUUCACACCAAAGAAAAUAUUAAGAAAAAGUGAUUGUUUCUUGGAAGACUUCUUGGAAGUAUAUACAAAUACAUAUAUAUAUAUAUAUAUAUAUAUACACAUACAUAUGUACACACAUACAUAUAUACACGUAUGUAUGUUUACAUACCCUUAUGAUAUCCAGUAUUUAGUAUUAUAAUGUAUAUAAUGUAUAAUAUAUACACACUAUACAGCUGGAUGUACAAGUAAUUUUUUUUUAAUCUAGGAAAACUAGCUGAUGUGCCCAAAAAAUAUAAAUUUAAUAAAAAAAAAAAAAAAAAAGUAGAGAGGGGCACCUGGGUGGCUCAGUUAAGCAUCCAACUCUUGGUUUCAGCUCAGGUCAUGAUCUCAUGGUUCCUGGAAUCAAUCAGGCCCCCAUCAGGCUCUCUGCACUGACAGGACAGAGCCUGCUUGGGAUUCUCUUUCUCCCUCUCUCUGCCCCUCCUCUGCUCAUGCUCUCUCUCAAGAUAAAUAUUUUUUUAAAAAGUAAAAAAAAAAAAAAAAAAAAAAAGAGAGAA